CAGCAGCCGCGGGAACACCGAGGGUGCAAGCGUUAAUCGGAAUUACUGGGCGUAAAGCGCGCGUAGGUGGUUUGUUAAGUUGGAUGUGAAAUCCCCGGGCUCAACCUGGGAACUGCAUCCAAAACUGGCAAGCUAGAGUAUGGUAGAGGGUGGUGGAAUUUCCUGUGUAGCGGUGAAAUGCGUAGAUAUAGGAAGGAACACCAGUGGCGAAGGCGACCACCUGGACUGAUACUGACACUGAGGUGCGAAAGCGUGGGGAGCAAACAGGAUUAGAUACCCCAGUAGUCCCUGUCUCUUAUAA
rnacentral:rRNA from 1 species